rnacentral:rRNA from 1 species
UACUUUCAGUAUCCGAGUUGUAAUUUGUAGAAGCAACUUUGGUGAUGGUCUUUGCAUAAGUUCCUUGGAAUAGGACGUCAUAGAGGGUGAGAAUCCCGUUUAUGGUGAAGAACCCACACUAUGUAAAGUGCUUUCGAAGAGUCGAGUUGUUUGGGAAUGCAGCUCAAAGUGGGUGGUAAAUUCCAUCUAAAGCUAAAUAUUGGCGAGAGACCGAUAGCGAACAAGUACUGUGAAGGAAAGAUGAAAAGAACUUUGAAAAGAGAGUGAAAAAGUACGUGAAAUUGUUGAAAGGGAAGGGAUCUAAAUCAGACAUGGUAUUUUGUGAUCAACAGUCUUUCGGGACUGUGCACUCGCAUUUUACUAGGCCAGCAUCGGUUAGAAGGGGGUAAAAAAGAUUUUGGAAUGUGGCUCCUCGGAGUGUUAUAGCCAAGGUUAAUUGCCCCAUUUCUGACCGAGGACCGCGUCUUUUGACUAGGAUGCUGGCGUAAUGGUUUUGAUCCACCCGUCUUGAAAAAACCGAAACCAACAUACC